rnacentral:misc_RNA from 1 species
GAUGAAGAACGUAGUGAAAUGCGAUAAUUAAUGUGAAUUGCAGAAUUCAGUGAAUCAUCGAGUCUUUGAACGCACAUUGCGCCCCCUGGUAUUCCGGGGGGCAUGCCUGUCCGUGCGUCAUUGCUGCCCUCAAGCACGGCUUGUGUGUUGGGCUCCGUCCCUGGCAACGGGGACGGGCCCAAAAGGCAGUGGCGGCACCAUGUCUGGUCCUCGAGCGUAUGGGGCUUUGUCACCCGCUCCCGUAGGUCCAGCUGGCAGCUAGCCUCGCAACCAAUCUUUUUAACCAGGUUGACCUCGGAUCAGGUAGGGAUACCCGCUGAACUUAAGCAUAUCAAUAAGCGGAGGA